UGCGUAUGGAUAAAAAUUCAGUCAAACUCUAGUAGGAAAAAAACGACACAUGAAAAAUAUCAAACUUAUUGCAAUCUUGCUUAUUCUAAUAAUAUGAUGUGCCUGUAAAUAUUUGUACGAUAAAUAAGUGAAGUGGUUUGGCCUGGAACGUACCAAUAUAAGAAAAUUUGCUUCAUUAAUGUUGGUAAUGAUCUAAAUGGUCUACUAUCAUUGUCGUUUCCAAAUGUACACGUCAACUGUAAUAAAAUAAAGUGUCUAAUUCGUAUUUAGCGUCGUUAUUAUUAUAGGGGCCGGUCGCUCGCUACUGUGUAGUUGUUUCGUAUAAUUAAUUGACCAUUCUUGCAUUUUGAUAUCAUCACACUAGUCACAAGUGUAUAGUAUUAUAUUAAUCAAAUUUAGAUAAGGUCAGUUUACAUAUACGUCCUAUUAAAUAGGUAUAUGAACAUAGAUAUAAUAUAUACUAUUAUAAUAUUAAUAUUACGGUCACGAGUGUAGUUCUUGUUCAAACGAAUCCAGAACGAGGAUGUGAGAUCUAAUCCCUGUGUACAAUGUAAUAAAUUAUAUUUAUUAUAGAUGUCUGUACAAACAUA